AUGGAGGGUUGGUUAAGUUUGUGUUUCAUAGCUCUAUGCACGCUUGUUGCCCUCUGGUUUCGCAAGCUCUCCUGUGGAAAGAGAAAGCCACGGCUGCCUCCUGGGCCAUGGACUCUUCCGAUCAUCGGCAGCUUGCACCACGUCGCCAGCGUGCUCCCGCACCGCAGGAUGAUGGAGAUGUCUCGUCGGCAUGGUCCGCUGAUGCACCUCAUGCUCGGCGAGGUCCCCACGGUGAUCGUCUCCAGCGCGGAGGCGGCGGCGCUGGUGAUGAAGACCAACGACCUUGCCUUUGCUGGCCGGCCUCGCAGCGCGACGCUGGACAUCUUCGGCUGCGGCGGGAGGGGCAUCGUCUUCGCCCCCUACGGUGACCCAUGGCGCCAGAUGCGCAAGGUCUGCACCAUGGAGCUCCUCAGCUCCAAGCAGGUGAGGCGUAUGGACGGUAUCAGGCCAGACCAGGUGGGCAGCCUUCUCCAUUAUGUCGCGGACGCGGCAUCCACGGGUGCCGUCGUCAACGUCAGCGAGAAGGGAUUUUUUUAUAGGCGUGGAGGAGGGAAGUUUGUAAUCAUGCAUUAUUAUCGUCAAGUUCUGAGUAAUUAA
rnacentral:rRNA from 1 species